rnacentral:rRNA from 1 species
GACGAACGCUGGCGGCGUGCUUAACACAUGCAAGUCGAACGAAGUGGCGAACGGGUGAGUAACGCGUAAUCAACCUGCCCUUCAGAGGGGGACAACAGUUGGAAACGACUGCUAAUACCGCAUACUGAAGGAGGGGAUUGCGUCUGAUUAGCUAGUUGGAGGGGUAACGGCCCACCAAGGCGAUGAUCAGUAGGCGGGCCUGGAGGAAGAACGGCCACAUGGGAACUGGGAACCGGCCCGACCCCCAAGGGAGGCAGCGGUGGGGAAUCUCCCGAAAUGAAGGAAGGCCGAACGAGGAACCGCCGCGUAGGGAAGACGGCCUUUGGGUUUUUAAGCCCCGUUUAUCGGGAAGCGGUACCGGAAUAGAAAGCCACGGCUAACUACGGGCCAGCAGCCGGGGUAAUUC